AGAGUUUGAUCCUGGCUCAGGACGAACGCUGGCGGCGUGCCUAAUACAUGCAAGUCGAGCGAACAGAGAAGGAGCUUGCUCCUUUGACGUUAGCGGCGGACGGGUGAGUAACACGUGGGCAACCUACCCUAUAGUUUGGGAUAACUCCGGGAAACCGGGGCUAAUACCGAAUAAUCUCUUGUCCCUCAUGGGACAAUACUGAAAGACGGUCUCGGCUGUCGCUAUAGGAUGGGCCCGCGGCGCAUUAGCUAGUUGGUGAGGUAACGGCUCACCAAGGCAACGAUGCGUAGCCGACCUGAGAGGGUGAUCGGCCACACUGGGACUGAGACACGGCCCAGACUCCUACGGGAGGCAGCAGUAGGGAAUCUUCGGCAAUGGGGGCAACCCUGACCGAGCAACGCCGCGUGAGUGAAGAAGGUUUUCGGAUCGUAAAGCUCUGUUGUAAGUCAAGAACGAGUGUGAGAGUGGAAAGUUCACACUGUGACGGUAGCUUACCAGAAAGGGACGGCUAACUACGUGCCAGCAGCCGCGGUAAUACGUAGGUCCCGAGCGUUGUCCGGAUUUAUUGGGCGUAAAGCGAGCGCAGGCGGUUUGAUAAGUCUGAAGUUAAAGGCUGUGGCUCAACCAUAGUUCGCUUUGGAAACUGUCAAACUUGAGUGCAGAAGGGGAGAGUGGAAUUCCAUGUGUAGCGGUGAAAUGCGUAGAUAUAUGGAGGAACACCGGUGGCGAAAGCGGCUCUCUGGUCUGUAACUGACGCUGAGGCUCGAAAGCGUGGGGAGCGAACAGGAUUAGAUACCCUGGUAGUCCACGCCGUAAACGAUGAGUGCUAGGUGUUGGAUCCUUUCCGGGAUUCAGUGCCGCAGCUAACGCAUUAAGCACUCCGCCUGGGGAGUACGACCGCAAGGUUGAAACUCAAAGGAAUUGACGGGGGCCCGCACAAGCGGUGGAGCAUGUGGUUUAAUUCGAAGCAACGCGAAGAACCU
rnacentral:rRNA from 1 species